rnacentral:rRNA from 1 species
AAUCCAUAGGUUAAUGAGGCGAACCGGGGGAACUGAAACAUCUAAGUACCCCGAGGAAAAGAAAUCAACCGAGAUUCCCCCAGUAGCGGCGAGCGAACGGGGAGGAGCCCAGAGCCUGAAUCAGCAUGUGUGUUAGUGGAAGCGUCUGGAAAGGCGCGCGAUACAGGGUGACAGCCCCGUACACAAAAGCGCAUGUGCUGUGAGCUCGAUGAGUAGGGCGGGACACGUGGUAUCCUGUCUGAAUAUGGGGGGACCAUCCUCCAAGGCUAAAUACUCCUGACUGACCGAUAGUGAACCAGUACCGUGAGGGAAAGGCGAAAAGAACCCCGGCGAGGGGAGUGAAAAAGAACCUGAAACCGUGUACGUACAAGCAGUGGGAGCACCCUUUUGGGUGUGACUGCGUACCUUUUGUAUAAUGGGUCAGCGACUUAUAUUCUGUAGCAAGGUUAACCGAAUAGGGGAGCCGUAGGGAAACCGAGUCUUAACCGGGCGUUAAGUUGCAGGGUAUAGACCCGAAACCCGGUGAUCUAGCCAUGGGCAGGUUGAAGGUUGGGUAACACUAACUGGAGGACCGAACCGACUAAUGUUGAAAAAUUAGCGGAUGACCUGUGGCUGGGGGUGAAAGGCCAAUCAAACCGGGAGAUAGCUGGUUCUCCCCGAAAGCUAUUUAGGUAGCGCCUCGUGAACUCAUCUCCGGGGGUAGAGCACUGUUUCGGCUAGGGGGCCAUCCCGGCUUACCAACCCGAUGCAAACUGCGAAUACCGGAGAAUGUUAUCACGGGAGACACACGGCGGGUGCUAACGUCCGUCGUGAAGAGGGAAACAACCCAGACCGCCAGCUAAGGUCCCAAAGUCAUGGUUAAGUGGGAAACGAUGUGGGAAGGCCCAGACAGCCAGGAUGUUGGCUUAGAAGCAGCCAUCAUUUAAAGAAAGCGUAAUAGCUCACUGGUCGAGUCGGCCUGCGCGGAAGAUGUAACGGGGCUAAACCAUGCACCGAAGCUGCGGCAGCGACACUGUGUGUUGUUGGGUAGGGGAGCGUUCU